rnacentral:rRNA from 1 species
AGAGUUUGAUCCUGGCUCAGGAUGAAUGCUGGCGGCGUGCCUAACACAUGCAAGUCGAGCGAUUCUCUUCGGAGAAGAGCGGCGGACGGGUGAGUAACGCGUGGGUAACCUGCCCUGUACACACGGAUAACAUACCGAAAGGUAUGCUAAUACGAGAUAAUAUGCUUUUAUCGCAUGGUAGAAGUAUCAAAGCUUUUGCGGUACAGGAUGGACCCGCGUCUGAUUAGCUAGUUGGUAAGGUAACGGCUUACCAAGGCGACGAUCAGUAGCCGACCUGAGAGGGUGAUCGGCCACAUUGGAACUGAGACACGGUCCAAACUCCUACGGGAGGCAGCAGUGGGGAAUAUUGCACAAUGGGCGAAAGCCUGAUGCAGCAACGCCGCGUGAGCGAUGAAGGCCUUCGGGUCGUAAAGCUCUGUCCUCAAGGAAGAUAAUGACGGUACUUGAGGAGGAAGCCCCGGCUAACUACGUGCCAGCAGCCGCGGUAAUACGUAGGGGGCUAGCGUUAUCCGGAAUUACUGGGCGUAAAGGGUGCGUAGGUGGUUUCUUAAGUCAGAGGUGAAAGGCUACGGCUCAACCGUAGUAAGCCUUUGAAACUGGGAAACUUGAGUGCAGGAGAGGAGAGUGGAAUUCCUAGUGUAGCGGUGAAAUGCGUAGAUAUUAGGA